UAUUUAAGUAGUUUAAAAAAAAUUUUGGUUUGUGGUUCCAAAGAUGUAGAUAUUUACCUUAGAUAA
rnacentral:tRNA from 1 species